rnacentral:misc_RNA from 1 species
CACCGCCGCUUCCGCCGCCGGCUCGCGCACACCGCCCGGAACCGGGAACCCGAACACAUCACCCGACGCCACAUGCUCAACCUGCGCCAGCAACAGUGGCGGCCCCUCCACAACCUUCCCGCCCCGGGAAAUCGACAACAAACCUGACUUGUCGACGUCGUGCAUGCCGGUGUAGUGCCAGUACAACCACGGCCCGCUCAAUGCGACCAGCUUGCCCAGCAACCGCUGAAUAGCACGACCGGCCGCGACACCCGCUGACGCAUUGACCGCGCCC